rnacentral:rRNA from 1 species
AGGGGAAUCUUCGGCAAUGGGGGCAACCCUGACCGAGCAACGCCGCGUGAGUGAAGAAGGUUUUCGGAUCGUAAAGCUCUGUUGUAAGUCAAGAACGGGUGUGAGAGUGGAAAGUUCACACUGUGACGGUAGCUUACCAGAAAGGGACGGCUAACUACGUGCCAGCAGCCGCGGUAAUACGUAGGUCCCGAGCGUUGUCCGGAUUUAUUGGGCGUAAAGCGAGCGCAGGCG